AUGGGAGAGUUCCAUGAAGAUUCAAAAGGAAACUGUUGGCCGGAGAGAGAUUUCUGGUCAGUCUUCUUAUCUAAGACUCUGGGAAAGAGCUAGAUAGGAGAGUUACUCUUCUCAUACCCUUUUGCUUGGCUGAGCUGAAUGAAAGUUUCUUGCCCUAAAUUGAAGACAACCUUGGAUUACAAUUUCCCUGAGGGGAACUCAAAGCUAUAUUCCUUGAUGAUAGAUUUUGAUCCCACCAUCAAAAGUGGCCAUAGGAAAUAGUUAGCAGGGAUCUCCUUAUUUUUCCCUCUCCCCUCUCCCUUCUUUUCAAGAAAAUAAAUUAGAUAAUUUUAAAUUACAACAGAAUUGUUUCAAAAUCUAUGUAAUAGGAGGGAGGAUUUUCAAAUCAUCAAAAAGAAGGAGACUGUGAGGGGUUGACUUACCCACUGGUCUGGACUGACUGACUCCAUUAUAGUUGCCCAGCUUUAGUGGAGGAAAAGGAAGGUGUUACACAGAACUCAGUCCUGAAACCAGCUGCUUUCUGGUCCCUUCAUCUUUCAAGUCCCCCUCUCCCACUAUUACAUUACACAGAUCAAGGUCACAGUCCUAGGGAAGGUUGGAGCAAAGAGCAAGUGACCAGACCUCUCUUUGGGGCACACCAACUUGGAAACGUCAAAAACUUACAGACCUUCAGAUCAAGUUACAAAAGUUCAAUCUGGCCAUUCUCUCACUCAGGUAGGUAUAAUAGAAAGAGCUCAAGACCCGGAAUUAAAAAACUUUGAGGAUAGCAGUGUCAUUCAAAUCACCAGACCUCACUUCUAGCCCAGCACCCACAACCAUGAUUGAAGGAUGAGAUCAUUGUGAAGAAGAGGACCCACAUCCACCUUCUUCAUCACCAUCAGUAAUAACUACUAACC
ensembl:lncRNA